UACAGAGGGGGGCAAGCGUUGUUCGGAAUUACUGGGCGUAAAGGGCGCGUAGGCGGCUUGUUAAGUCGAACGUGAAAUCCCUGGGCUCAACCCAGGAACUGCGUCCGAUACUGGCAGGCUUGAAUUCGGGAGAGGGAUGCGGAAUUCCAGGUGUAGCGGUGAAAUGCGUAGAUAUCUGGAGGAACACCGGUGGCGAAGGCGGCAUCCUGGACCGAUAUUGACGCUGAGGCGCGAAAGCCAGGGGAGCAAACGGG
rnacentral:rRNA from 1 species